UACGUAGGGUGCGAGCGUUGCCCGGAAUUAUUGGGCGUAAAGGGCUCGUAGGCGGUCUGUUGCGUCAGGUGUGAAAACUCGGGGCUUAACCCCGAGCCUGCUUCUGAUACGGGCAGACUAGAGGUAUGCAGGGGAGAACGGAAUUCCUGGUGUAGCGGCGAAAUGCGCAGAUAUCAGGAGGAACACCAGUGGCGAAGGCGGUUCUCUGGGAAUUUCCUGACGCUGAGGAGCGAAAGUGUGGGGAGCGAACAGG
rnacentral:rRNA from 1 species